AGGGGUAUAGCUCAGUUGGUAGAGUAGUGGUCUCCAAAACCAUUGGUCGAGGGUUCGAGUCCUUCUGCCCCUG
rnacentral:tRNA from 1 species